CCUACGGGUGGCAGCAGUGAGGAAUAUUGGUCAAUGGGCGAGAGCCUGAACCAGCCAAGUCGCGUGAGGGAGUACUGCCCUAUGGGUUGUAAACCUCUUUUGUCGGGGAGCAAAAGCCGGACGUGUCCGGCUGUGAGAGUACCCGAAGAAAAAGCAUCGGCUAACUCCGUGCCAGCAGCCGCGGUAAUACGGAGGAUGCGAGCGGUAUCCGGAUUUAUUGGGUUUAAAGGGUGCGCAGGCGGAUUUUUAAGUCAGCGGUAAAAUCGUGGGGCUCAACCCCGUCCAGCCGUUGAAACUGGGGAUCUAGAGUGUGCGAGAGGUAUGCGGAAUGCGUGGUGUAGCGGUGAAAUGCAUAGAUAUCACACAGAACCCCGAUUGCGAAGGCAGCAUACCGGUGCACAACUGACGCUCAGGCACGAAAGCGUGGGUAUCGAACAGGAUUAGAUACCCGGGUAGUC
rnacentral:rRNA from 1 species